rnacentral:rRNA from 1 species
UACGUAGGGUGCUAGCGUUGUUCGGAAUCAUUGGGCGUAAAGCGCGUGUAGGUGGUUAGUUAAGUCGGGUGUGAAAUCCCUGGGCUCAACCGAGGAAGUGCAUCCGAAACUAACUAGCUAGAGAAUGGUAGAGGAAGGUGGAAUUCCUAGUGUAGAGGUGAAAUUCGUAGAUAUUCGCAAGAACACCAGUGGCGAAGGCGGCCAACUGGUCCGGAACUGACGCUGAGGUGCGAA